UACGGAGGGUGCUAGCGUUAUUCGGAAUAACUGGGCGUAAAGAGCGUGUCGGCGGUCUUUUAAGUCAACUGUAAAAGAGCUCGGCUUAACCGAGUAAAUGCGGGUGAUACUGGAAGACUAGAGUGCGGGAGAGAAAGGUAGAAUUCUCGGAGUAGCGGUAAAAUGCGUAGAUCGCGAGAGGAAGACCGGUUGCGAAGGCGGCCUUUUGGCCCGUAACUGACGCUUAAGCGCGAAAGCGUGGGGAGCAAACAGG
rnacentral:rRNA from 1 species